UGACGAGUUCGGCAUCGAAGGAGAAGGGAAGACGAGGAAGAGGAAGUAGACGAGGAGGAAGAAGAAGAAGAAGAAGAGGGUGCAGGGAUCCAGAGUACCCAUCCCAUGCUUUCGCUUAAUCGUUACCGAGGGAGGGUUGGGGACCCAGUAGUAUUAUGGAUGGCGAUGGCGAAGCGAUUACGAAGGAGCCGCCUUCCUCCGUCGCCGCUGCUGCUGCUGCUUCUGCAUCGCACGCUAUGACUGUCCCAUCCACACCCAACGUCUUCGCAUCGCUCAUUGGUGGCAGGGCUCACGAGGAUGAGGACUUCGACGGAGCUUACGAGGAGCUAGGACCGGGUUCACAGUAUACUCAGAUGCAAGGGUUGCCAACGACUGCAGGUUCUCCUCCCCGAAUGCUUCUGGAGGAAGACCCUAUAUUUAAAGAACCUCCUGUAGCAACUGUCGUCAGUGUCACCAGAUCAGAAGGAACGUCUUUCCAGCUGAUAUACACGAUAGAUUUUGAGUAUCGUCAAUUUAAGUGGCGUCUUGUUAAGAAAGCUACUCAGGUUUUCUCCCUUCAUAGUGCUAUUAAAAUUCGGGCACUGGUUGAGGAUCUUCAUGAGAAACAAGAGCAGGCCAGAGAGUGGUUUCAAAAUCUAGGAAUAGGUGACCAUGCAGGAAUCAACUUACAUGUACAGGAGGAUGAUGAACAGGAUGAAAACCCCACCGCAAACAGAAAAGAUAUCCCUUCCAGUGCUGCGUUGCCAGUCAUGCGGCCGGCUUUGGGACGCUUGCCAACGAUUACUUACAGGGCUCAGACUGCCAUGCAGGAUUAUAUAAAGCAUUUUUUGGACGAUUUAGAUAUAGUCAACACUCGGGAAGUCUGUCGAUUUCUAGAGGUAUCGAAGCUCUCAUUUGCACCGGAGUAUGGUCCGAAGCUUCAUGAGGGAUAUGUCAUGGUGCAACAUCUGCCAAUCAUUUCGAAGGAUGAAUCUACUGGCUGUUUGGGGUGUUUCAGAUCAUGCUGCUGUUGCAAUCCUACCUGGCAAAAGGUUUGGGCCGUUUUGAAACCAGGAUUCCUCGCCAUUCUUGGAGAUCCUUUCGAUGCCAAGCCCUUGGAUAUAAUUGUAUUUGAUGUGCUGCCGCCUCUGGAUCGAGGGGCUACAGAGGGAUUGAUAGCACUGGCAAGGUUAAACAAAGAGCGGAACCCCUUACGAUUCAGCUUUACGGUAACAUGUGGUACGAGAACAGUUAGAAUCCGAACUCAACGGGCGGGACGUGCGAAGGACUGGGUCGCAAGUAUUAACGAUGCGGGUUUGAGACCUCCAGAGGGAUGGUGCCAUCCUCAUCGAUUUGGAUCUUUUGCACCGCCUCGUGGUUUCUCUGAUGGUAGUGAGGCCCAGUGGUUUAUAGAUGGAAAAGCUGCGUUUGAAGCAAUUGCCGGAGCAAUUGAGAACGCUAGGUCAGAAAUAUUUAUCGCAGGUUGGUGGCUCUGCCCCGAUCUCUACCUCAGGCGACCGUAUGGCAGCAAUGAGGCCUCCCGACUGGACCAUCUUCUUGAAGCCAAGGCGAAAAUGGGAGUUCAAAUCUUCAUUUUGUUGUACAAAGAAGUUGCAUUGGCUUUGAAGAUAAACAGCAACUACUCAAAGCAAAGGCUGCUUGGGCUGCACGAGAACAUUAAGGUUCUCCGCUUUCCUGACCACUUUUCGUCGGGGGUAUAUCUAUGGUCGCACCAUGAGAAGUUAGUAAUAGUUGACCACCAUAUCUGUUUUCUUGGGGGGCUUGAUUUGUGUUUCGGUCGUUAUGAUACUCCUGACCACCGAGUUUCCGAUCAUCCUAGCACUAUUUGGCCUGGAAAAGACUAUUACAAUCCAAGGGAAUCAGAACCUAAUUCGUGGGAGGACACCAUGAAGGAUGAAUUGGACCGGCGAAAGAUCCCACGUAUGCCUUGGCACGAUGUUCACUGCGCUCUUUGGGGACCACCUUGUCGCGAUGUCGCUCGACAUUUUGUUCAGAGAUGGAACUACGCAAAGCGCAGUAAAGCUCCGAACGAGCAUGCUAUUCCACUUCUUCUGCCCCAGCAUCACAUGGUCAUUCCUCACUAUCUGACAGGUCGUGAGUCACUCGAAAAUAAGUUGCAGGAACAACAACCUGCACAAGAGGAGAUGACUUCAGCACGGUCUUCCUACUCUGAUAUCCCCUUGCUCCUCCCAAAAGAGACCGAACAAGAUGAAGUCAUUCAGGAUAUAGAUAAUGCUGGCAAUGAAAGCACUGAGAUUGCCCGUCAUCCUAGUAUCUCCAGCAGUGAAAUCGUUCACGUUGCGCGUCAUGCUAGCUCUGAACUCGUUCGGGGGAUACAACGAGCCUUGAUUGGUCUUUCACCUUUGCGAAGCCCAGUACAUUCAAAUUCCGUCCCUAAUGAUGAAGAGAGAGCUUUGUUGUCGGAUGUUCCUAUGCAAGCUUUUGUAGGAGAUCCUGUGGUAGAUGACGAAUCAAGGAGCAAGAGUACGGGAUCUGUUCGCCCAAAAAGACACGCUCGCACUCGGAAGGUUUCAAGAUCUGAGUGGUGGGACGUAGAUGAACACGAGUUGGGUGGGUUUGAUGCUGUGGGGGAAGUAGGACCACAGACAUCUUGCCGUUGUCAAGUGAUACGCAGUGUGGGUCAAUGGUCAGCUGGGACAAGCCAAGCAGAAGAACGUAGCAUCCACGAAGCCUAUUGCUCACUUAUCGAUAAAGCUGAGUACUUUGUGUACAUUGAGAACCAAUUUUUUAUUUCUGGCUUGGAGGGAGAUGAUACAAUUCACAACAGAGUUCUUCAAGCUUUGUAUAGUCGAAUAAUGAGGGCUUACAAGGAGGGUAGGUGCUUCCGAGUCAUAGUGCUUCUCCCUUUGCUGCCUGGGUUUCAAGGUGGGGUAGAUGACGGAGGUGCUGCUUCAGUACGAGCCAUAAUGCAUUGGCAGUACCGAACAAUCUGCAGGGGUAAAAACUCACUACUUGAACGGCUUUCUUGUGAGCUUGGUGAACAAGCGCACGAUUACAUCAGCUUUUAUGGGCUUCGCUCUCACGGAAAGCUUCACGAAUCCGGACCAUUAGCUACAAGUCAGAUAUAUGUGCACAGCAAGAUCAUGAUAGUUGACGAUUGGGCAGUGCUUAUUGGAUCCGCUAACAUCAAUGACAGAAGUCUGCUGGGUUCUCGAGACUCCGAAUUAGCAGUUGUAUUGGAGGACAACCAAUUCAUCAGAUCACGCAUGAAUGGAAAGGUGUGGAAUGCAGGGCGGUUUGCACAUUCCUUGCGGGUUUCUCUGUGGGCAGAGCACUUAGGUUUGCGUACGACCGAAGUUGAUGCAAUUCGGGACCCUGUUUGCGACACGACUUAUAAGGAUCUCUGGAUGUCAAGAGCUAAAACAAAUUCAAGAAUAUACAAGGAUGUCUUUGGAUCCAUCCCUGACGACGCAAUUCCAUCUCGUAUUAUUCUUCGUCAAGCGAUUUCUUUGCGCAAAGACAAGUUUAGCCACAACACCAUUGAUCUUGGCAUUGCUCCUGCAAGCAACAAGCCAAACGAGGCAACUACAGAUGAUCGUGCUUUUGACCCAGAUCAUUGUACAGAUGGAAUUAUUGGUCACUUAGUAUUCUUCGCUUUAGGGUUUAUGGCGGAAGAAGAUCUGAGGCCAGUGUUCAAAGAAAGUGAAUACUAUGCCUCAGCUCAGAUAUUCCAUUGACUGUUAUUAGAAACUGGUGAAAAGUCUCUAGUAGGUCUCAUUUGUGUAAGAGAAGGCUAUUUCUGCUACAGAGUUAAGCCACAUCGAUGAAUGUCAACAAUGGAAUCUGGAAAAAUCAGGCAUACUUGUAUAUUUGAUGUUCGAAUCCUAUACCAACUGUUUGGCACUUGUGACCGAACUCGAGAUUAUACGGGUUAGCGAAGAUAACACAACAGAUGACGAGGAGGCUUUGCCAUUUUACUGUGACCAGUUUUGUGUAGAAGGGCUUUUCAUGAGUGUUUCAGUAGCAACUACAACAAUUGCUUGUAAUGAAAUCUGCCGAGAUUUUGGUUUUUUUCAAUCUGCCCAAUUUUCUUUUUUUAGUA